rnacentral:rRNA from 1 species
GAUGAACGCUGGUGGCGUGCCUAACACAUGCAAGUCGAGCGAUUCUCUUCGGAGAAGAGCGGCGGACGGGUGAGUAACGCGUGGGUAACCUGCCCUGUACACACGGAUAACAUACCGAAAGGUAUGCUAAUACGAGAUAACAUGCUUUUAUCGCAUGGUAGAAGUAUCAAAGCUUUUGCGGUGCAGGAUGGACCCGCGUCUGAUUAGCUAGUUGGUGAGGUAACGGCUCACCAAGGCGACGAUCAGUAGCCGACCUGAGAGGGUGAUCGGCCACAUUGGAACUGAGACACGGUCCAAACUCCUACGGGAGGCAGCAGUGGGGAAUAUUGCACAAUGGGCGAAAGCCUGAUGCAGCAACGCCGCGUGAGCGAUGAAGGCCUUCGGGUCGUAAAGCUCUGUCCUCAAGGAAGAUAAUGACGGUACUUGAGGAGGAAGCCCCGGCUAACUACGUG